rnacentral:rRNA from 1 species
GACCCUGGCUCAGGACGAACGCUGGCGGCGCGCCUAACACAUGCAAGUCGAACGAGCGAGAGAGAGCUUGCUUUCUCGAGCGAGUGGCGAACGGGUGAGUAACGCGUGAGGAACCUGCCUCAAAGAGGGGGACAACAGUUGGAAACGACUGCUAAUACCGCAUAAGCCCACGGCUCGGCAUCGAGCAGAGGGAAAAGGAGUGAUCCGCUUUGAGAUGGCCUCGCGUCCGAUUAG